rnacentral:rRNA from 1 species
UACGUAGGGUGCAAGCGUUUAAUCGGAAUUACUGGGCGUAAAGCGUGCGCAGGCGGCUUUGCAAGACAGAUGUGAAAUCCCCGGGCUUAACCUGGGAACUGCAUUUGUGACUGCAUGGCUGGAGUGCGGGCAGAGGGGGGAUGGAAUUCCGCGUGUAGCAGUGAAAUGCGUAGAUAUGCGGAGGAACACCGAUGGCGAAGGCAAUCCCCUGGGCCUGCACUGACGCUGAGGAGCGAAAGCGUGGGGAGCGAACAGG